GACGAACGCUGGCGGCGUGCUUAACACAUGCAAGUCGAACGGAAAGGCCUGCUUUGCCUUGUGGAUUGCGGGUACUCGAGUGGCGAACGGGUGAGUAACACGUGAGUGAUCUGCCCCCAACUUGGGUAUAAGCCUGGGAAACUGGGUCUAAUUCCCGAUAGGACUGCAGGGUGGUGCCUGUGGUGGAAAACGAUUUUCUAGUGGUUGGGGAUGAGCUCGCGGCCUAUCAGCUUGUUGGUGGGGUAAUGGCCUACCAAGGCGGCGACGGGUAGCCGGCCUGAGAGGGUGGACGGCCACAUUGGGACUGAGAUACGGCCCAGACUCCUACGGGAGGCAGCAGUGGGGAAUAUUGCACAAUGGGCGGAAGCCUGAUGCAGCGACGCCGCGUGGGGGAUGACGGCCUUCGGGUUGUAAACUCCUUUCGACCGCGAGGAAGCCACCUGGUUGGAAGGGUGGUGACGGUAGUGGUAGAAGAAGCACCGGCUAACUACGUG
rnacentral:rRNA from 1 species